rnacentral:rRNA from 1 species
GUGGACUCUCAAGCGUGAGGUAAGGGCAUCUGGUGAAUGCCUUGGCAUGUACAGGCGAUGAAGGACGUGGCACGCUGCGAUAAGCGUGGGGGAGCUGUGAGCAA